rnacentral:rRNA from 1 species
AGAGUUUGAUCCUGGCUCAGAACGAACGCUGGCGGCGUGCCUAACACAUGCAAGUCGAACGAGAAAUUCCCUGCUUGCAGGGGAGAGUAAAGUGGCGCACGGGUGAGCAACGCGUGGGUAACCUACCUUUGAAUCUGGAAUAGCCCGCCGAAAGGCGGAUUAAUACCGGAUACGGUUUAAGGGUUUUUGGACCUUUAAAUUAAAGGUGACCUCUUGAUAAAAGUUGCCGUUUAAAGAUGGGCCCGCGUACCAUUAGCUUGUUGGUGAGGUAAAGGCUUACCAAGGCGACGAUGGUUAGCUGGUCUGAGAGGAUGAUCAACCACACUGGAACUGGAACACGGUCCAGACUCCUACGGGAGGCAGCAGUGAGGAAUUUUGCGCAAUGGGGGAAACCCUGACGCAGCAACGCCGCGUGAGCGAAGAAGGCCCUCGGGUCGUAAAGCUCUGUCAAGUGGGAAAAAAAUCUUUUGAUAAACAGUCAAAAGACUUGAUGGUACCACUGGAGGAAGCACCGGCUAACUCCGUGCCAGCAGCCGCGGUAAUACGGAGGGUGCAAGCGUUGUUCGGAAUUACUGGGCGUAAAGGGCGUGCAGGCGGUUUGGCAAGUCAGAUGUGAAAGCCCCGGGCUCAACCCGGGAAGUGCAUUUGAAACUGCUUAACUAGAGUAUGGGAGAGGAGAUUGGAAUUCCUGGUGUAGAGGUGAAAUUCGUAGAUAUCAGGAGGAACACCCGUGGCGAAGGCGAUUCUCUGGCCCAAUACUGACGCUGAGACGCGAAAGCGUGGGGAGCGAACAGGAUUAGAUACCCUGGUAGUCCACGCCGUAAACGAUGAGAACUAGGUGUAGCGGGUAUUGACCCCUGCUGUGCCGAAGUUAACGCAUUAAGUUCUCCGCCUGGGGAGUACGGUCGCAAGGCUAAAACUCAAAGGAAUUGACGGGGGCCCGCACAAGCGGUGGAGCAUGUGGUUUAAUUCGACGCAACGCGAAGAACCUUACCUGGGUUUGACAUCCUUUGACUGUCUGUGAAAGCAGAUUUUUCCGACUUGUCGGAACAAAGUGACAGGUGCUGCAUGGCUGUCGUCAGCUCGUGUCGUGAGAUGUUGGGUUAAGUCCCGCAACGAGCGCAACCCUUGUCUUUAGUUGCCAUUAUUAAGUUAGGCACUCUAAAGAGACCGCCUCGGUUAACGGGGAGGAAGGUGGGGAUGACGUCAAGUCCUCAUGGCCUUUACAUCCAGGGCUACACACGUGCUACAAUGGGCUGUACAAAGGGUCGCUAUCCUGCGAGGGUGAGCUAAUCCCAAAAAGCAGUUCUCAGUUCGGAUUGAAGUCUGCAACUCGACUUCAUGAAGUUGGAAUCGCUAGUAAUCGUGGAUCAGCAUGCCACGGUGAAUACGUUCCCGGGCCUUGUACACACCGCCCGUCACACCACGAAAGUCGACUGUACCAGAAGUUGCCGGGCUAACCCAUUUGGGAGGCAGGUACCUAAGGUACGGCCGGUAAUUGGGGUGAAGUCGUAACAAGGUA